AUUGAACGCUGGCGGCAGGCCUCACACAUGCAAGUCGAACGAGUGGCGGACGGGUGAGUAAUGUCUGGGAAUCUGCCUGAUGGAGGGGGAUAUCUACUGGAAACGGUAGCUACUACCGCAUACCUUCAGAUGUGCCCUGAUGGGCUUAGCGAGUUGGUGGGGUAACGGCUCACCAAGGCGACGAUCCCUCGCUGGUCUGAGAGGAUGACCAGCCACACUGGAACUUGGACACGGUCCAGACUCCUACGGGAGGCAGCAGUGGGGAAUAUUGCACGAUGGGCGCAAGCCUGAUACAGCCAUGCCGCGUGUAUUAAGAAGGCCGUCGGGUUGUAAAGUACUUUCAGCGGGGAGGCGUUACCCGCAGAAGAAGCACCGGCUAACUCCGUGCCAGCAGCCGCGGUAAUAC
rnacentral:rRNA from 1 species